AAUAAAUUGAUUUGUGGGUUUCCGUAUCCAACCUUUGACUGUUCAUCUUAUAUGAAAUUUUUUUAUGAUUAAUAUUUUUAUUGUUACUAGAUAAUAAAACAUAAAUAAUACUUUAUGCGUGACUUAUUUUUUUAUUUUUUUAUAAUUUUUUAAAUGAAAUAGACGGUCAAAGGUUAUACAUAAA
rnacentral:pre_miRNA from 1 species